UCCGGAUUAGCUCAGUUGGUAGAGCAGCUGACUGUUAAUCAGCGGGUCGUUGGUUCGAGUCCAACAUCCGGAGCCA
rnacentral:tRNA from 1 species